rnacentral:rRNA from 1 species
CGGCGGACGGGUGAGUAAUGCCUAGGAAUCUGCCUGGUAGUGGGGGACAACGUUUCGAAAGGAACGCUAAUACCGCAUACGUCCUACGGGAGAAAGUGGGGGAUCUUCGGACCCCACGCUAUCAGAUGAGCCUAGGUCGGAUUAGCUAGUUGGUGGGGUAACGGCUCACCAAGGCGACGAUCCGUAACUGGUCUGAGAGGAUGAUCAGUCACACUGGAACUGAGACACGGUCCAG